ensembl:lncRNA
AUGCGUCACGUUUAUUUGGGCCUUCUGCAUCCCACUGGCAGGGAAGCGCCCGAUUUUUUUUUUCUCCUCCUUGCCUUACAACGUUCUGUAUAUGUUUAUUCCAAGCGUGGCUCUUCUGGAAAACAAGGUAUCGAAGGGAAGUCGCGACGCAAAGUAUGCAUUUGGAGACAAUUCUUUGCCGUUUACUGGAUGAAAUUUCAGGCACCCCCUUGGAUUGUCAGGUCCCAAAGUGCUGAUC